rnacentral:lncRNA from 1 species
CAGGCCCUUCCCGUCGGACACCUCUGAGGGCAGCCCGAGCCCGCCCUGCUGGUCCGGUGUCUUGCCGGAGUGGGCAGAGGGCCAUGUUAAGAGCUGGCCACCCGUCCCUGUCACCUCAGUGCCACCCACUGCUGGAGCCCUGCUGUGCUCGCUGAGCCCCAGCUCUCAGCCUCUGCCACCCUGGAUGAGCAGCCCACUCCACUCCAGUCCCAGCCCUGUGAAGCGCUGGCCCUCGCCACACUUCCUGGGGAGAGACAGCCGGCGAGCGGCCAGGCAGUGGCUGGUGUUGGCACUCAGUGCUGCACUUAGCCUUGUGGUGUCCAGGGCCGGGAGGCCAGCCUGGCUCCAGCUUCCAAGCCGGACCCUCUGUGUGGCUGUCGUGCUCCGGAAGGUGCCAUGUGGCCUCAGGAUGCUUUGUUCCUGCUUCAGCUCUUGGGCUCUUCCUGCAAGGACUCCAAGCCCCAGGUGAGGCACCGUUCCUCUCGAGGGAGUCCCAGGUCCUCAAGAGGGGUGCAGGGCUCAGCAGUGUCGUCCCCUGCACUGUGGGGAUGCAGCUCGGUGGGUGCAGCCUGGGGCAGGGUGGUUUGACACUCACAAAGCACACACCAUGCCCGCGCUUCGCACUCCUUCCAGCCUGGAAGAGCUCUCUCUGCCUCCCCAUGCGUGGCGGGGUCUGUCUGUCCAGGCUCCACUUUGGCUGCUGCCGGCCCUGGGAGAGGAUGGAGCUCAGGGUGUCCCAGCGCCCUGCAGCCCCAGCUCUGAGUGCGGGAGAGCUGGGUGGCCGCUCUCUGGGCUGAGGAGGGUCCAGACCCUGAAGAGCUGGGGUCUGACGGAAACUUCAGUUAGGAGCUCGUGGAAGUCACAGGAG